rnacentral:rRNA from 1 species
CCAAUAGCGUAUAUUAAAGUUGUUGCAGUUAAAAAGCUCGUAGUUGAACUUCAGGCCUGUCCAGAUGGUCCGCCUUAAUUGGUGUGUACUGUCCUUGGGUGGGUCCUACCUUCUGGCGAAGCGGCAUGGCCUUAAUUGGUUGUGUCGGGGAACCAGGACUUUUACUGUGAAAAAAUUAGAGUGUUCAAAGCAGGCAUAUAUGCUCGAAUACAUUAGCAUGGAAUAAUGGAAUAGGACGAUGGUUCUAUUUUGUUGGUUCUAGGACCGUUGUAAUGAUUAAUAGGGAUAGUUGGGGGCAUUAGUAUUCAAUUGUCAGAGGUGAAAUUCUUGGAUUUAUUGAAGACUAACUACUGCGAAAGCAUUUGCCAAGGAUGUUUCCAUUAAUCAAGAACGAAAGUUAGGGGAUCGAAGACGAUCAGAUACCGUCGUAGUCUUAACCAUAAACUAUGCCGACUAGGAAUCGGGCGAUGUUGACAAAAUGACUCGCUCGGCACCUCAUG